rnacentral:rRNA from 1 species
GACAGAGGGUGCAAACGUUGUUCGGAAUUACUGGGCGUAAAGCGCGUGUAGGCGGCCAUCUAAGUCGGGCGUGAAAUCCCACGGCUCAACCGUGGAAGUGCACCCGAAACUGGAUGGCUAGAGUCCUGGAGAGGAAGGUGGAAUGCUUGGUGUAGAGGUGAAAUUCGUAGAUAUCAAGCGGAACACCGGUGGCGAAGGCGGCCUUCUGGACAGUGACUGACGCUGAGACGCGAAAGCGUGGGGAGCAAACAGGG